rnacentral:rRNA from 2 species
CUUGGCUCCUGCAACGAUGAAGAACGCAGCGAAAUGCGAUACGUAGUGUGAAUUGCAGAAUUCCGCGAAUCAUCGAGUCUUUGAACGCAAGUUGCGCCCGAGGCUUGCCCUCGGGCAUUUCUGUCAGAGCGUCAC